GAUGAAGAACGUAGCGAAAUGCGAUAAGUAAUGUGAAUUGCAGAAUUCAGUGAAUCAUCGAAUCUUUGAACGCACAUUGCGCCCAUUAGUAUUCUAGUGGGCAUGCCUGUUCGAGCGUCAUUUCAACCCUUAAGCCUAGCUUAGUGUUGGGAGACUGCCUAAUACGCAGCUCCUCAAAACCAGUGGCGGAGUCUGUUCGUGCUCUGAGCGUAGUAAUUUUUUAUCUCGCUUCUGCAAGCCGGCCAGACGACAGCCAUAAACCGCGCCCUCUCGGGGGGCACUUUUUUAAUGGUUGACCUCGGAUCAGGUAGGAAUACCCGCUGAACUUAAGCAUAUCAAUAAGCGGAGGA
rnacentral:misc_RNA from 1 species